CAGACUAGAAGAUUACAAGUAUUGAGGUGGACAAAAUGAAACAUGAGCCUACCAAAGCUGACAGAUUGCACAAGAAACACAUAAAUGCAGAUUGGAAGAUUCAUUCUCUGGAAAGUAGAAAAGGGCAUGUUACAUACUGUUAUCACUGCCAUGACAGAAACCAUAUUGAGGAGCUGGUCCACCUGUAGGAAGAAUUGCUCUAUUGGUUGGAGCAGCACUAUUACCCAGCCAUACACCAGCACUUAGUUUGUCAUAGGGAGCAUUUCUGAGCAGUUAUGGAGACCACUAACUAUGCAGUUGUUGCAGUGAAACUUGCACCAGUGUGUUUUCUGUGGAGAUAAAGAGAUAGUGUCCAGCAAUGAAGACCCAAUUCAAGAUCUGACCUUGUAAGGCCAAUAUGAAAUAACUGUGUGGGAAAAUGGGAAAAACCUGCAGUCAGGAAUGCACGGAAAUCAUCAAAAGAACAGUGUUAAAUUAAUCUUGAAUAACUUGACAUUUAUUUUGUUUGACAUAUUUAUUCAUGGUGCAGUGAAAACAUUCUUUUUUUUCUCAUGGUUAUUUAAAUUUAGAAUUGAUAGGAGGGAACAUCACUAUGUAGUUUUAUGUUCAUAGUCAGAUCAAAACCCAUGUACAUGCCCAAAUGAGCAUUCGAAAAUAUCAAAAUGGUACUUGUUGUAUGUAGUGUAAGUUAAUUAACAUAAUAAACAAAAGUAUUUAAACAAUUUCAAUUUAUUAUGCCCCUUUCAAAGAAGAGGAGUAUAUUGCUUUGCACAUGUUGGCCGCUACGUCCGUCUGUCUGACAGUAGACCAAAGCUUUUCCGGGUGAUAACUCUACAAUUCCUAGACCUAUUGUCAAACUUGACAUGAAAGUUUGGUUUAACCAGUAGAUGACCCCUUUUGAUUUUAGGGGUAAUAUGGUCAAAGGUCACAGUGACCUUGAACAGGAAGGUGUCAAACCAUACAUCUGAC